GUGGGGAAUAUUGCACAAUGGGCGCAAGCCUGAUGCAGCGACGCCGCGUGAGGGAUGGAGGCCUUCGGGUUGUAAACCUCUUUUAUCGGGGAGCAAGCGAGAGUGAGUUUACCCGUUGAAUAAGCACCGGCUAACUACGUGCCAGCAGCCGCGGUAAUACGUAGGGUGCAAGCGUUAUCCGGAAUUAUUGGGCGUAAAGGGCUCGUAGGCGGUUCGUCGCGUCCGGUGUGAAAGUCCAUCGCUUAACGGUGGAUCCGCGCCGGGUACGGGCGGGCUUGAGUGCGGUAGGGGAGACUGGAAUUCCCGGUGUAACGGUGGAAUGUGUAGAUAUCGGGAAGAACACCAAUGGCGAAGGCAGGUCUCUGGGCCGUUACUGACGCUGAGGCACGAAAGCGUGGGGAGCAAACAGGAUUAGAAACCCGAGUAGUCC
rnacentral:rRNA from 1 species